GAUGAACGCUAGCGACAGGCCUAACACAUGCAAGUCGAGGGGCAGCAUAGAGGUAGCAAUACUUUGGUGGCGACCGGCGCACGGGUGAGUAACACGUAUGCAACCUACCUGUAAGAGGGGAAUAACCCGGAGAAAUUCGGACUAAUACCGCAUAAUACCACGAAUUCGCAUGGAUUUGUGUUUAAACAUUUAUGGCUUACAGAUGGGCAUGCGUAUGAUUAGCUAGUUGGUAGGGUAACGGCCUACCAAGGCAACGAUCAUUAGGGGUUCUGAGAGGAAGGUCCCCCACACUGGUACUGAGACACGGACCAGACUCCUACGGGAGGCAGCAGUGAGGAAUAUUGGUCAAUGGGCGAGAGCCUGAACCAGCCAAGUCGCGUGAAGGAAGAAGGUUCUAUGGAUUGUAAACUUCUUUUGUAAGGGAAUAAAAAGAGUUACGUGUAACUUAUUGUAUGUACUUUACGAAUAAGGAUCGGCUAACUCCGUGCCAGCCGCCGCAGUAAGAC
rnacentral:rRNA from 1 species